rnacentral:sRNA from 1 species
AUGUCAGGGUCAAAAGCCUGAGCCCACGGCAAGUCUUGCUUGCCUGUGGGGGAACGGCUUAUUGACCCACCGAAACAUGAGGAAGAAGCGGGGGAGGGGCCCCGCGAAUUCCGAAUGUUUCGCAGGAUUGUGAGAGUGCGAAGCACGGAACCAUCCGUGA